rnacentral:rRNA from 1 species
AUUGAACGCUGGCGGCAGGCUUAACACAUGCAAGUUGAGCGGAGUGAUGGUGCUUGCACUAUCACUUAGCGGCGGACGGGUGAGUAAUGCUUAGGAAUCUGCCAUUUAGUGGGGGACAACAUUCCGAAAGGAAUGCUAAUACCGCAUACGUCCUACAGGAGAAAGCAGGGGAUCUUCGGACCUUGCGCUAAAUGAUGAGCCUAAGUCGGAUUAGCUAGUUGGUGAGGUAAUGGCUCACCAAGGCGACGAUCCGUAACUGGUCUGAGAGGAUGAUCAGUCGCACUGGAACUGAGACACGGUCCAGACUCCUACGGGAGGCAGCAGUGGGGAAUAUUGGACAAUGGGCGAAAGCCUGAUCCAGCCAUGCCGCGUGUGUGAAGAAGGUCUUCGGAUUGUAAAGCACUUUAAGUUGGGAGGAAGGGUUGUAGAUUAAUACUCUGCAAUUUUGACGUUACCGACAGAAUAAGCACCGGCUAACUCUGUGCCAGCCGCCGCGGUAAAAC